UACGUAGGGGCCUAGCGUUGUCCGGAAUCAUUGGGCGUAAAGAGCUCGUAGGCGGUUCGGCGAGUCACGUGUGAAAUCUCCACGCUUAACGUGGAGGCGCCACGUGAAACUGCCGUGACUCGAGUCCGGUAGGGGAGUGUGGAAUCCCGGUGUAGCGGUGAAAUGCGCAGAUAUCGGGAGGAACACCAGUAGCGAAGGCGGCACUCUGGGCCGGUACUGACGCUGAG
rnacentral:rRNA from 1 species